UCUAAAACUAUGACUCGGUGGCCUGAAGGCGGUCACCAAACAGCUUUUUGUGUAGAAAUGUGUAUUUUUGUCAAUCAUCAACCAGGUCACCAGCAGCAGCUAAUCCAUUAUGUCCAUAGAGGCUGCUGAGUUUGGUUACAUUGCCCGCUUACCCAGCUCCUGUUCUGGCACGACACUGGCUCCACUCCCCGUGUCCCAGACCUGAAAACUUCCUGUCCCCGGUGGUCCAUUGGAGGCCACCUGGGAGGCAGACGUGACCCGAUGAAUGCCCACUUGGAUUAAACGCACACAUACACGUUUGGAGGUAAAGGAAGGAACCGAGGUUCCCACUUUCCCCCCCGUGACAAACGCAGAAGCUUGUUAGAAAACAAUGACUCUCAGUUUAAACCAACAAACAGAUGCAGUGGCAGGAUGCUGAGCUGCCUCCACACCUCUGAAACUCAGUGUUGUUGUUGCACUGUGCAGUUACUGGAAAUGAUGAGUGCAACAUUUUACAGAUUUUUCUUCUUCUUUUGCAUAAUUGCAACCACUAUCAGUCAAAGUCAGUCCCACAUUUACUCUUGUCCGGCGGCUUCUUGCUCGCUCACUCUCUCCUUUUCUCUUCUUAGCUUCCUCCGUCAGCGUCCUCUUCACUCUCUUCUCCUCUGCCAUUAUGUCCAUAGAGGCUGCUGAGCCCGGUUACAUUGCCCGCUUGCCUAGCUCCUGUUCUGGCACGACACCGGCUCCACUCCCUGUGUCCCAGACCUGAAAACCUGAAAUAAUUCUUCUUCUUCUUCUUCUUCUUCUCCAAGUUAAGCUGUUGGAUUUUAACCUGUGUCUGUCCUCGACAGAUUUCAGGAUUCUAUUUAAAAAGUAAACCCAACAUUUUUCACCCCUGUGGCUGAAACAUCAACGCCAAACUACAAACCUUUAAACUGCUGAUUGUGGUCUGUUAGGAAAAUGAUCAAAGUCUUCGAUUAUGUAUGUUAUGAAAAAUGCAGUCAGUCAAAGUUCAGUGUACGAACAGUUUAUAGGCAGGAUCUCUGGUAUUUUAUUGUUCAGUGUGGGUAAUCAUUGACCAGUCUGACUCAAAGGUGAAGGCUGGUUCGGUCUGAGCAGCUCGUCCAGAGCAUUUUAUAGAAAAACAGUUAAUCGUCACAGAGGACGAAGCGCCCAGCCUGUUCUGACAGAUUAUAGCUCACACCACAACAUAUUAUGUAUGGCAUGUUAUGUACACUUAGAUUUCCCACCUGUUUAUCAUGACGGGGAGGCAGGAAAUGAAUGAUUUGUUUUGCAUACAGAAAAUUAAAGGGAAGACUUUCCACACAGAUGUUUGUGUUUGGAUUCAGUUUUAAUGUCCCCAAAUAUCAAAACUGCCAGCGUCAGAGAGAGCAUCAAAAUAUGCCUAACAAAAUUAAACAUGCGGAAAGAAUGAAAAGAA